UAGAAAAACCUGGGAUUUGUCCACAGAGAAGACCAUGCAUGACUGAUACUCUUCGUAGUAAUGGGUGCACAAAUGACUGGCAAUGUCCUGACAAACAGAAGUGCUGUGAUACCUCCUGCAAAAGGGAAUGCACUGAUUUUUAUAUACUGUAGAUGGAUGGACGAUUGAUUCAGACAGAUAAA